rnacentral:rRNA from 1 species
AGUGAACGCUGGCGGUAGACCUAACACAUGCAAGUCGAACGGCAGCACAGUAAGAGCUUGCUCUUACGGGUGGCGAGUGGCGGACGGGUGAGGAAUACAUCGGAAUCUACUUUUUCGUGGGGGAUAACGUAGGGAAACUUACGCUAAUACCGCAUACGACCUACGGGUGAAAGCAGGGGAUCUUCGGACCUUGCGCGAUUGAAUGAGCCGAUGUCGGAUUAGCUAGUUGGCGGGGUAAAGGCCCACCAAGGCGACGAUCCGUAGCUGGUCUGAGAGGAUGAUCAGCCACACUGGAACUGAGACACGGUCCAGACUCCUACGGGAGGCAGCAGUGGGGAAUAUUGGACAAUGGGCGCGAGCCUGAUCCAGCCAUACCGCGUGGGUGGAGAAGGCCUUCGGGUUGUAAAGCCCUUUUGUUGGGAAAGAAAAGCAGCAGGUUAAUACCCCGCUGUUCUGACGGUACCCAAAGAAUAAGCACCGGCUAACUUCGUG